UUAAAUAAUUAUGGAUUUGUCGAACGACGACGUGUUUCUUCAUGGAAAUUUCGAUAUCUUUUAUGCACGAUUCAACAACGAUAUAAUUUCUACACAUUUCAGUGGGAAAUAAUGAACCUGAUUAUUUCUCUCGUGUUUCACAAGAUAUCCUAGGUCCCACGUCACUCGAGGUGAAUUAUCAACACAUCCAAAGAUCGCCUACGGACUGCUUAUGUAUCAAACGAAAGGAGACCAAGUUUUCUCGAACACGGAGACCCUGAGACCAUCGACGCGGAGUUGACGGAAAACACGAGGUUCCCGAUUCGACCUUCGAUUGGCCGCGCGUGCUCGAAGGGCCUGGCGAGGCGAGGAAAGCCCGCAACAGUCCACUCAGAUCUUCGUGGGCUAGGAGUAGGGGAAAAUGGAAAGCUGAAUGGAUCGAACAGACGAAGGAACGAAUAACAGAAAGAAAGCCUCGAUACAGCCCUACCACAACUCGCGACGGCUUCCUACGAUCGAUCCAACGCACCGCUGGAUAUCGGCAAUCUUAUCACAAGAAUUUUCGUCCUGGGCUCAUCCGCUGGAACGUUUUCGUUCAUGUCACAUAUAGACUACUUUGAUUCUACGAGUUACGUAAUGUUACUGAGCUUGAAGAUCUGACAGUCAUUGUAUAAGAGGCCAAAUGGAUUUGGUAAUCUUCUUUUGUUAUAAAUGGAUUACAUGGGUCUAUGAUAAAUAUUGAAUGUUAUUACUGGAUUAAGAGGUGACUGAAGUGGUAUAAAGAUUGGGAAUAUACUUUUUCUGUUACAUUGGAUGGAAAAUAUAAGAUUGAAGGUAAUAAAUAACAUCCCAAAUAUUCCGGGCUACUAGAGUUCACGUAUUAAUGGAACUACGAGACAAAAAUAGUUACAACGGAGUCCACGCAUUGAUUGAACUCCAAAAAAGAAGACAAUUCUGAUAACCAAAAGGAGAACACAAUAAAAGGAACUUAAGAAGAAACAAUAACGCUCAAAGUGGAUGACGUGUAAUAACCGAAAAUUAGGACUAUCAAAUUAUACACGAAUCUGAUGAAGAAUCUUCGAUCGCCAUAAAACAUUCCUUCGUAUUUAAAAGAUCAAACAACUCGAGCCAGCAAAAACACUUGGCCACUUCAAGAACGAGUCGCGUUCUAUGCAUCAUCCAACGUCCAAACAACCAGCCACCCAGGUAGAACCGAUCUAAAAGCAAGGCCCUGGAGCUUUUUUCUCUACCUCUCUCUCUU